GGGCCCAUAGCUCAGCGGUGGAGCAGUCGGCUCAUAACCGAUCGGCCCUUGGUUCGAAUCCAAGUGGGCCCACCA
rnacentral:tRNA from 1 species